GAUGAACGCUGGCGGCGUGCUUAACACAUGCAAGUCGAACGAUGAAGCUCAGCUUGCUGGGUGGUUUAGUGGCGAACGGGUGAGUAACACGUGAGUAACCUGCCCGUAACUCUGGGAUAAGCCUGGGAAACUAGGUCUAUAACCGGAUAGGAGCGUGCACCGCAGGGUGGGUGUUGGAGAGAUUUAUCGGUUUUGGAUGGACUCGCGGGUUAUGAGCUUGUUGGUGGGGUAAUGGCUCACCAAGGCGGCGAAGGGUAGCGGGCCUGAGAGGGGGACCGGCCACACUGGGACUGAGACACGGCCCAGACUCCUACGGGAGGCAGCAGUGGGGAAUAUUGCACAAUGGGCGAAAGCCUGAUGCAGCGACGCCGCGUGAGUGAUGACGGCCUUCGGGUUGUAAACCUCUUUCAGUAGGGAAGAAGCGAAAGUGACGGUACCUGCAGAAGAAGCACCGGCUAACUACGUG
rnacentral:rRNA from 1 species